GCUCAGGACGAACGCUGGCGGCGUGCCUAAUACAUGCAAGUCGAGCGAACCACUUCGGUGGUUAGCGGCGGACGGGUGAGUAACACGUGGGCAACCUGCCUGUAAGACUGGGAUAACUUCGGGAAACCGGAGCUAAUACCGGAUAAUCCUUUUCCUCUCAUGAGGGAAAGCUGAAAGACGGUUUCGGCUGUCACUUACAGAUGGGCCCGCGGCGCAUUAGCUAGUUGGUGAGGUAACGGCUCACCAAGGCGACGAUGCGUAGCCGACCUGAGAGGGUGAUCGGCCACACUGGGACUGAGACACGGCCCAGACUCCUACGGGAGGCAGCAGUAGGGAAUCUUCCACAAUGGACGAAAGUCUGAUGGAGCAACGCCGCGUGAGCGAUGAAGGCCUUCGGGUCGUAAAGCUCUGUUGUUAGGGAAGAACA
rnacentral:rRNA from 1 species